rnacentral:rRNA from 1 species
GAUGAACGCUGGCGGCGUGCCUAAUACAUGCAAGUCGAGCGAACGGACGAGAAGCUUUCUUCUCUGAUGUUAGCGGCGGACGGGUGAGUAACACGUGGAUAACCUGCCUAUAAGACUGGGAUAACUUCGUGAAACCGGAGCUAAUACCGGAUAAUAUUUUGAACCGCAUGGUUCAAAAGUGAAAGACGGUCUUGCUGUCACUUAUAGAUGUAUCCGCGCUGCAUUAGCUAGUUGGUAAGGUAACGUCUUACCAAGGCAACGAUGCAUAGCCGACCUGAGAGGGUGAUCGGCCACACUGGAACUGAGACACGGUCCAGACUCCUACGGGAGGCAGCAGUAGGGAAUCUUCCGCAAUGGGCGAAAGCCUGACGGAGCAACGCCGCGUGAGUGAUGAAGGUCUUCGGAUCGUAAAACUCUGUUAUUAGGGAAGAACAUAUGUGUAAGUAACUGUGCACAUCUUGACGGUACCUAAUCAGAAAGCCACGGCUAACUACGUG